AGGUCAGUAACGCAGUAACUAGACUGAGGUGAUUUUUCAAGGGCAGGAAGAGGUCACUGAGAGCAGCCGUUCAGAGCAGAUGCUGGAUGUGAAGACAAUGGAUGAAGGUCCCUGAACUCAAGAAUUACCAGCCUUGAGGUACCAGGACAGCAUCUUGGAUGAUAUCAUCUGUUCAGCCCAAGGUCAAGAUGUAACGGCAAACUGAUGGGGAAUCUACCCUGCCGUCCAGACCUCAGCAUGGCAAUCUUGGCGGGGGAGAACCUCUGGAAAGCAGUAAUGAGAACCAUCUGGGGAUGUGAUAAUAACAUUACAUCAGCGAAAAUGCCAUUAGACUGUUCAUUAUAUAUCACAUCAGCUGGUCUACCUACAGAGGUGUGAAGGCUGCAACUCCGAGUCACAAGUCGUGAAGCACCUGGGCACACUUAACAAGCAGCCCUGAACUGCCGCCGAUGGUGCCAAUGUGGGAUCCAAGGAUGGGUGAAUCUGGAGGCUAAUGGAUUGCCUUUUUAAGUGGAUAAAAAUUAAAAUAAGGCCAAAUAAGGUUUUGACAUUAAAAAAGUAAGUCGGGGAGGGUCCCAGAGAAGGCUGAGGGAAUUUUCUAGGGGCAUGCGUCUUUGGGGAGGAGGGGAAAAAUUGUUUCGCCAUGUUGGGGAUCUCCAAUCUAUCAAUCGGCAGCACCAAUUGGGAAUAACAUAUCUUAUGGUGGGAAAAUUGAUUCCAGACACCGUCUUCCUUCUUCCUUUCAUCAAAUGAUCUGCCUGUUCUGCAGAACGCAGCUAGGCAUCAUAUCUGACUGCUGCCCGUACAGCCCUCUAGAUCUGGGACUUUUUAUGUGACCACCUCCCCCCAGUCUUAAUCAUAAUCUUUCAAGAUGCUAUAAAUUUCUUUCUAGAAGCUAAUAUGGUACAAUUUACAUAAAGCUAUUAUAUUCUCAGUUUCUUUUUUUUUUAAUAGACUAACUUGCUAGUUCUCAUUAUUUGAUUCCAGCUUUUUUUUUAAUGUAAAUCAUCUAUUAAAAGCUUAAAGACUAACUAGGCAAUAACAUUUUGAAAUACCAUAUGAUUUUAUUCACACCUCACUUAAUGUACAGUAUACCAGUCUUAUGCGAUGAGAGAAUGGUGCCUGAUUUUUAAAAAUGUAAAUCUGGCACAUGCGGCACAGAAGUGUCGUGGUUCCAUCUUUCUGAAAUUAUGCACUAUAUUAUAUCUUUUUCUGCCCUUCUGGAUAAAAACUGGAAGUCUUUUGUCUUGCUUUGAAUGCCUUUCCGCCUAUUUGGUGCCUAGAGAGGAGACAGAGUCCCUGUAAUGAGCGGGUGCUGAGAAGGAAUAUUGCACGGUGGCUGAGGAGAAAGGUAAAUUGAACUGGUCAUUGCUUGCAGAGGACUAGUGAAAUGCCUGGGCACAAUAUGUUUACUUAGCCUUCAAAAAGGUAUGUUGAGUGGCAGAAGGUCUAGUGAGACCUGCAGCACAAGGGAGAGCUGUUUUCCUUAGGUUAUCAGAAGCAGAUCUGGCUGGCCUUUGCUAGAUUGGCUGGUUCCAGGAAGGCAAUUCACAUGAUCCCCUGAACUGAGACCAUCAGACGUUUGGGCCACUGGUGGGCCGCUGGAAAUCUCAGGGUCACAGAAAGAGGACAAGUGCAGCCCUGGGAGACCUUGACUGCAGUAAACAGAUGGCACACUUCCAUACUAUUUCGAAAUCGGAAAUUGAUGAACAUUGGAAGUUUCUGAAAUGCCCUUCCCAGCAACCCUCCCCAUUGCUGGGAGUAGAAAUGAAGCAACAUUGGGAGUGCUACAGGAUACCAUGAAAGGCACCGUUUCCAAUCACAGCUCCAUUUUUCACACUUCUGCUGCUGGACAGAAGACAUGAGAGUGUUGUGCUUUUGACUUAGGGUGCAAUUGGAAAGGGUUGAUUUGCCCACACCUUCCCCACUUUGCUGUGGACAGUAGCACAGCUCCAAGAGAUUAGGUGAUUACAGCCAGAAUCUCCCUCCACCCUACCUCCCAAAAAACAUUUUUAAACUCCCUGUAACACAAAGUUUGCUUCGAUAUUUGAUGUUUCCUCUUUCUUCACAUGAAUUGCCAGAAGUUAAUGUAGGUAGUUAUUUCAGAGGCUUAAAAAGGGAUUACCAAGGACACCCACCUGCAAUGGAGAAAAAAAGAAUGAAACCCACAAGAGACACAGACAUUUCCCUACCUAUGUAGCAAGGAACUAGUUCUCUGUCAGAACUGGGAUCAUAGAGGAGAGAGAUUUAGCUAUGGAAUUUCUCUUAGUGUGUCUCUGCCUGUGCAAUCAAAGCAUUAAAAUAUGCCUCACAGUCUUUAGGGUUGGAAAUAUUCCUUUUUUAUCAUAUUAGGCUAAGUACAGUGGUGGUGGUGGUGGUGGUGGCAAUUGGGUCUCUUUUCUUCCUUUUAAAUCUGUGUGAAAUUUAUUUUAGGGUUUACAUUACAGCUUUGACAGUUUCCAAUCCUGCCUCCAAAUGGUGGGCAACUGGGCCACUGAUUUUCAGCAGUUGUGUUUAGAGGGGGAGUACAAAAGGAGAUCCAAAUAUCUUGAAGGCUUGAGUUCCCUCCAACUACAAAAACCAAUGGUUGAAAAUCCAGUAGUUGAAAAUCAGAGCUUGGAUCAUGCACCUAUUCUACUCAUACAUAAGUGCCAUGCUGUCCUAUUUGAACAAAAAGCUUUGAAUUGUCCGAAUUAUUCAUGAUCUGCAGAAGCUGCAGUUUUUACAGUGGUGUUUGCCUGAAGUUGGUUUUCCAAGCAUGAGGAUAGGUUCAGUAAAUCAGACUGAGGGAUUUUCUGACGUGCACAGAGAGAAGGGCAGAUAAACACACUUUCUGAGCACCCUCAUCUUUCAAAAGUCCCUCUGUGAGAGCAAAGUUAUGGUCAUCCAGAUGACCAUCGAGUGUGGUUUCUUUUAAAUAUCAUGGACUUCUUGAGCAACCAGAGGCACCAGGUUGCAGAAAGCUGUAAAGUAAUUAGAGGAGGAAAAAAUAAUUUUGAGCUUUGUUUCUGGGAAUUAGCACAUUCAGAGUUAAGCUCUGCAUGAAAGUAACCAAACAGGCAAGUGAGUUCAAGGCUGUUGA